UUUUUUUUUUUUUUUUUUUUUUUUGAAGCGUCAGAGAGAGGGGUCUGCUUAAAUCUUGAUGAUUUUAAGAACUUGUCUUAGGAACCUGGGAAGUUCACCUUUCCAAUUCCACUUCCGACCUGUGGGGUUGGUUGGUUUAUCUUAGUGGAACUGGCCUCGUGUGAAGAUAGCAUUGGGAAGGAGAGAGUGUUGCAAGGAGAGAGAUACACCUGGAUGUGGCCGUCUAGGGCCACAAAUAGCAGAAGCCCUCAAAGGGAAAUAAGCCAUUCAAAUCAGCUAGCGGCCUGAAUAUAAACCCCACACGCUUAGAGGCAGACUCUGCUCUGCUCUAUUCACUCAAACCUGGCCAGAUAAAUGAAGUCAUUGUAGAGCCACUCACAAGCCAGCCCAACUCUUUUUGUUAUAGUUUCUCAGCUUUUGUGCUCAAAACACGCAAAUCACUAAUUACCCAGGAAAGAAGAGGUGGAUCUAGAGCUAGAGCUCAAAGUGUGUCUAUCCCACAACACCUACACAUCUAUGCAGGCACUAUAAAAGUGAGGGGUUAGGGAAGGGAUGCAGUUGGCCCAGCUCCCAAAAGUUGCCUCAAGGGGCUUUUUUUCCCCUCCUUCCCUCCUGUCACCACUCCCAUAAAGAGAUCAAUCUAUUCUCCCGCUCAAAAUAGGGUUUGAAGAGUGGCACAUCUUGAAUGUCUAGGAGUUGCACCGUGACUUUUUACAAAGCUUAGUGGGAGAAAGGAAGGCACAGGCACAUAAAACUAUGUUGAGGCAUACACUCUGCCUGCUGCAAACAAAACAGAAAUAUUUUAAGGGAAAAUUUAUUUGAAGCCCUUCUUUCACCCAGUAGCAUGUCUUCCUUGGCUUGGAGGGACAGCUCUUGAGAAAUCAGGUCUCUCAAGGAGCUCUCCCACACCCAAUGUAUAGUCUAUAAAUAUAGUGGAAGAGUCAUGCCAGGGGUAGUCAGUGCAAGAGAAUCUGGAGUCUUGAAAGCAUCUUUUUCUUCUGGCUAUGGUGGCACUUAAAUGAUAAUGCGGGCAAUGGAGCUAGGAGAUUUAUAUCUUUUGGAAAGUAGGGCGAGCCAGAUGGUAAUAGCGUCAUUAACACACAAACUUGGGAUGUGCAAGUGAAGCUUGAAAUUGGGAAAGAGAUCGGGAGAACAAAGGGGGCUGCUGUUGAAAGGCUACCCCUCUUCUGCUGGCCAAAGCUAAGAGCCUCGUGGUACUGGGGUCUGCUCCUGCCCAGAGCUGGAUAAUAAACGACAGCUUUCCCCCUCCCCUGUUGUGACUUAGAAAGCACGGAGAAAACUUUUGCAGUAGGCAAAUGUGGUACUUAUUUAUGUGUAACCCUUUGUAGUCUGAAGUGGCAGGAAUGGGCCUUUAAUUUAACUGCACUCCCACCCUCCACCCCCUGCCCUAGUUUGAUAAGCUCUUGCAAUUGUUGACACUUAUUUUAUGAAAUCAAAGUGCCGCUUGUUGCACAUUUCAGACAAAAGUUCAUUUUCCUCCCUUUAUGUAAACAUUCUAAGUAAAUAUUAAAGGUUCAACAGCACUACCUUUUUCAUUUUGGUGGUGGGGGUUGGUAGGAACAUGUUGAGGGGGUUAAACUAUAGAGUUUUACUUUGGAAAGCCUAAAUGUUUAAGUUAAACUCACACUUGCCCAAAUAGAUAUAAUUCAGAGAGAAUACAGAAGGCAUAAAGAUUAACAAUGACAUUAAUAAUAAUGAUGACGCAUGUUUAUAAUAAACACACAAACAUCCAUAAAUGGGCAGGGCAGUUUGGAACUAAAGAAAAUGAAAUUAAUAACUUUGUUUUCAUAUGUGUUUUAUUACACAUAUGUAAGACAGCAAUGGUAACAGUCAUUAAGUACUGAACAGCUUGAGUGAUGCCUGUUAGCGACUCAAAGUUGACAAUGUCUAAACUAAAAUCGAACGUUUUUCUUUUUUUUCUUCUACAAAAAAAAAAAAAAAAAAAUACUGGAGCUCUUUAAAAGCCCGGAGGACUUACCCUCCAGGCAUUAUUCAGAGAAAAACUGAGACUGGCCGUUCGUCACAGGCAAUUGUAAAGGGUUUCAAAGGGCCGAUCAAACGAUCGCCAGAGUAAUCUACAUUCAAGUCCGGAUGGUGGUGUUACGGCACACACCUGCGGGGUGUUUGCUGUCCGUGCCCCUCGCCGAGCUACAAAUCAUCAUUAAAGCGAGCUGCUUAAGCUUCUUCCCAGCUUCUAGACAAGCGUUACUUGGGACAGUUCACUUUGAUACUGCCUCAGCUCGCAAUUGACAAGCAUGCUAUUUUGGAGCUCAAGCCCGAGCCCACACCCUAGUUCGCGCGCGGCAAAGUGAGGAGGGUGUUGUGGAAGGGGUAAGGGGAGAGUGAGCAAUGGUAAAAGCCUGUUUCUCCAAUUUCCUGAGCAGAAUCACCACAGAAAUGUGUAGGAAACCAGGCUAGAAACAGCUGAAACCCGCCUGGAGUUUUCUACUGAGGGUCCUCCAAAAGUUCAGUCUUCGCCCUAACUUCUAACCGACUCAGACUACAGACAAAUCUCACAACCUCAGAUUUUCUGCUUCUCUCUCUUACGUACAUAUACUCGGGCCGGCACACUCCCUCGAGUGCAAGAUAACAUUAUAUUUCUCAGGACUGGGAAUGUACUUUGAAACUUCCACUUUUGAUUCAUUCGUUUGGGGUUACAUGCCCCCUCCCCAUCCCCCGCGCUUUCUAAGCGACCCUACCCUCAGUGCCCUCACCGAGAGAGAGAGAGCGCGCGCGCGCGCGCGAGACAGAGAGAGAGAGAGAGAGAGCGAGCGCGCGCGCGCGCCAGCGAGGAAGAGGAGAGAGAGAGAAGGGAGAAAACCUGGAGUUGGGUAAAAAGAAAGGGAAGUGGGGAUCGGACAGCUGGAGCAGCGGAAAAGGCAGGAAAGUCGUUUUCUGUUUGCUGCCUGCAUGGGUGUCUUCGAGCCCUCGGCAAUCCGUGUGCGCCCCAUUUGGGGCGGGGGGAACAACCCCGUGCCGGUGAUGCCAAGAUCAACCAACACUCAGAGCGAAUGUUAUCAAUAGACCAAUUUUCUGCUCCCACUGCGAGCUUUUUCACUUCAGUCUAGAGUGGAGGCGUCCGCACUGCGCAAGACGCCACAGCACCGUAGCGUCGGGGAAAAGAGGGCGCUAGAUGCGGGAGGCGCAAAUAUGGAAAUUAACUCAUUAGGAAGGGGUGUGGUUACCGAGAAGCCCCCUCCUCCAUCCCUUCCUUUCUCCGUUGCUGCCACAGUCCCAGCUUGCUAAAUAUGAGAUUACAAACAAACAAAUAAAGCGGAAGCUGACUACGCAGCCCGAGAUCAAACACGCUCCAGAUAAUUCGCUUCACUCAGCUCUACGGCCAGACCUGCGGCGCAGCGCGGGCCCCUAACGUCGGCCGGGGACUUCCGCAGCCGCUCCAGGCCAGCCCGGCUUCCGUGGCUAUGAAAGCCAGGGCCCGCGGCGGCUUUUCGAAGGCACAGCACGUGGCCCUGGAGCCCCUUUUGGUAUAAGUUUUAAAAUAUCAGACAAACGCUCCCACCAGUGUGGUGACCCUCCGAGAGCUUCUGCUGAUCCCAGAGCUCCUGCCCUGAGGCUGCCUGGAGGGGAGCGUAGUGAUAUUCUCUCUAGGAGAACCUACCCCCUCCCCCAAACUAGAAAGUAGCGUCCCAGGGUGCCUGGCCAGGGUUUUUUCCCAGUCUAGGGCUCGGCACCCCGAGCGGGGAGGGAGGGGCUGGUUGGAAUUGUGAAGCCAGGCUGGGCAAGAAGUGAGUGCCGGGGUCUGUGUGAGCGUUAAAGACCCGGGGUGAGAUACUACUAACCAGAGACUAGGUAUCCAAGACUGAAGGCGAGGGGGUUGGCAAACCUAGGCUGCAUAAUUCUAGGUCGAAAUAAAAUAUUUGGGUUGGGGAGGGGGGAGGAUAAGAAAGAAACAAAACGCAAAAUCUCUCACAUCCCCCUCCCCAGCCGCCCUGCCCCCCACAUCCUCAAAGCCGGCCUCUGUGGAGGGGUAGGGGGAAGAAAAUUGUGCUUUUAUGGUUUUUCUUCCUGCGUGGCCCGCCUCCCCGGCCCUGCUCCCUGCCCGACGCUCCCCCAGCUGUGGGGUGGAGAUAACUUUUGAAAAUCCACUGCCUUCCUCUCAAUUUCUCAACUCUUCCCCCUUGUGACUUUUUAGGUCUUAAAGGGGGAGAGUGGGCCAGAAAGAAAUUGGAAGGGAGCCGAAAAUGUGAACGUGACUCUAGAACCGUCGAUGUGAUGGCUUUAAAAUGCGGGUGGGAAGAGAAGGGGGGUGUCUCCACCCAGGUCUGGGCGGAGGACAGCUGCACAGUCGGUGCGCUAGGGGUAAGGGGAGAGGGGCCCCGAGGACGCGUGUGCAGGCGAAGCAUUUCGCACCUCGUGUUUAUCUUUGAAGUGAGGCAGGCGGGGGGUUGGGGGGAGCGAAUUGUUCUGCCUCCCGACGGGCAGGAGAAGUUGAAUAAAAUGGAGAGGCGGGCACACGCAAAAACAAAACCUGCUGUAGACUCGGAGUCUCUCUCCUUGACCCGAAUUCCAAGUGUUGAGGGUUCCGCAUUGGCGAAGAACUCCGAAGUCUUAAGACCCCAGAGAUAGCAGUCCACCAGCGACGGCAAGAGCCGCCAUAGAGAACCGUUAGAAUUCAGGCUUUGGGGGCAAAUGUGAUUCAUCUUUCAUUUGGGCAGCGGAGACCUAUUCCUUCCAAGCAUUGCCGUCUGCAUUUGCGGGGUCUCUAGGUGUCUGCUCUGACAGGCGUCAGAAAAAUAAUGGCUCGUGCCCCUGGCAAAACUCUUCCUGAAAAAGUAUAUUACUAGACCUAGAUACUGCGUGGGUGAUUCCGUUUUAAAAAUCAAAUCAAAACAAAGUAAGACUUUUAAAAAGCCCUAGGCCGGUGCUCUAGGUGUCCAACAACCAGGAAC
rnacentral:lncRNA from 1 species